rnacentral:rRNA from 1 species
UACGUAGGGUGCAAGCGUUGUCCGGAAUUAUUGGGCGUAAAGAGCUCGUAGGCGGUCUGUCGCGUCGAAUGUGAAAACCCGGGACUCAACUCCGGGCCUGCAUUCGAUACGGGCAGACUAGAGUUCGGUAGGGGAGACUGGAAUUCCUGGUGUAGCGGUGAAAUGCGCAGAUAUCAGGAGGAACACCGGUGGCGAAGGCGGGUCUCUGGGCCGAUACUGACGCUGAUGCACGAAAGCUAGGGGAGCAAACAGG